rnacentral:lncRNA from 1 species
UAAAUAGAAUAAAAUAACACUAAUCAUAUACAUGCUCUUAAAACACUUAGGAGAAAGAAAUAAUUCCACAUUUAGGAUAUGAGGAUAAGCUUAUCCUAAAACAAAAACCAUCAUAAGAAAAGCAGACUACAAACAAAUAUGUCUCAUGAAUGUAAAUGAAAAAAAUCAUUAACACGUUAGUAAACUGAACUAAAAAUAAAUACAGAGAAUAACACAUCAUGACUGAGGAUUAACCCAGGAAUUUCAAGUGGUUUAACAUCUGAAAAUCAAUCAAUGUAACUUAUCAUAUUAAUAAAGGAAAAAAUUCAUAUGAUCUUUUCAACAAUUGCUGAGAAAGAAUUCAGAAAAAUGCAACACUCAUUUAUUGAUAAAAAUAUUAAAGAAAGUAGGAAGAGCAGGGACCUUCCUUAACAUUAUAAAGGGCAUCUACAAAAAAUCUGCAGUUAACAUCAUACUUAAUGGUGAAAGACAAUACUUUUCACCCUAGGUCAGGAAUUGGGCAAGGAUUUGCAUGCUCACCACUUAUGGUCUCCAUUAUUCUGGAGGUCUUCUCCAGCACAAUCAUACAAAAAAACAAUCAAAGACAUACAAGGGAUGGAAGAAGUCAAACUGUCUUUAUUUAGAGAUGUCAUGAUUGUAUAUAUAGAAAAUCCCAAGGAAUCUACAAAAAAGCUAUUAGAAAGAUCUCAGGAUAAUAAUGUACAAAAAAAUCGUAAUACAUUGUGGUAGUUUUCAAAUUUCCACAAAUUCUUUGGCACCCUUCUCUUUAAAAGGUGGAUUCUAAUCGCCUUUCCUUGAAUGUGGGCUGGUCAUAACACCUUGCUUCUAAUUAAUAGAACCUGGUGGAAGUGAGCGUGUGUGACGUCUGAGGUGAGGUCACAAUAGGCAUUACUAUUUCUGCCUUGUUCUUUUGGAUGGCUUCGUCUGGAGCCAGGGGUCUUGCCAUGAAGGACAUUCAAGCAGUUCUGAGGAGAGGCCCAAGUGAAGAGGAACCAGUUGCCAGCACCACCCUGUCAGCUAUGUUAGGCCCCUGCCUAUAUAAACAAUUUGAUUAAAAACAUAUAUUUAAAAAUUCAUCAGUACAUGUGAGAUAUGAUGAUUUAUCAUUGAAGAUUUAGGAUGAUGGGCAGAGAAAGGCAAUCUGUUUUGUCUAUUGUCCAAUCAGUGCACGUGAAGAUUUGUUACAGUAUCCAGAAAAGACUAAAAAAGACCAAGCCUGUUAAACAACUCCAUCAAAGAAAAACAAGGAAGCCAUCCAGCUUUGUUCUGGACUCAGCAGCUAAGAUGGCAUGAGCUUCAUCGUAAAGCAUAGUUCUAUGUCAUGUCUACUGGAUGAAUCCAAUGUGGCUGGUCCCUUAAUAAAAUAAGUUGUAACAUAAAUGAGACUGCACAUGUUUUCCUGUUUGGUGCUGAGAACAAAGCUGCCCAGUUAGAGAAAAUAUGAAUCCCACUGUUCCAUUGGCUCCUGUAAAAAUGUUUUGGGGUAUAUAUAAAACUGUCUGUUGCUCUCUUGGAGAUUCAAUUGCUCCAAAAAGCUCUACAUAUUAUCUAUGAAAUCUACUUGUGUAUCUCAUCUGGAAGGAUACAUAUGCAAAUGUUAACAGGAUUAUACGUUUCAUAAGAAAAUCUUCCAUGACCUUCUCCAUCACUACCUCUGGGAUCCAGGACUGUUAACACUACUGGAGAGCAUUGUAUUCCACAGAGAUUUCAAAGCAGUGCACAUAACAUCUGAAUAUUGCAUUUUAUCACAAAGAUGAGGAAGAGGAAGAAUACUGGACUGCUCUGUCUCUUGCUGUCCUUAAAUUUAACACUGAAUCACUAAGGUUUUAUCCAGGAAUAGUACUCAAAGUGCUCAGAUGUUCCUUUAAAUUCAUUUACCUGGGUAACUGCUGA